rnacentral:tRNA from 1 species
UCGGGGAUGGUGUAAUCGGUAACACUGCUGGUUCUGGUCCAGCCAUUGGGGGUUCGAGUCCUCCUCCCCGAA